UUAAGCGACUAAGCGUACACGGUGGAUGCCCUGGCAGUCAGAGGCGAUGAAGGACGUGCUAAUCUGCGAAAAGCGCCGGCGAGGUGAUAUGAACCCUUGACCCGGCGAUGUCCGAAUGGGGAAACCCAGUGUGAUUCGUCACACUAUCGUUAACUGAAUACAUAGGUUAACGAGGCGAACCGGGGGAACUGAAACAUCUAAGUACCCCGAGGAAAAGAAAUCAACCGAGAUUCCCCCAGUAGCGGCGAGCGAACGGGGAGCAGCCCAGAGUCUGAAUCAGCUUGUGUGUUAGUGGAAGCGUCUGGAAAGUCGCACGGUACAGGGUGAAAGUCCCGUACACGAAAGCACACAGGCUGUGAACUCGAAGAGUAGGGCGGGACACGUGGUAUCCUGUCUGAAUAUGGGGGGACCAUCCUCCAAGGCUAAAUACUCCUGACUGACCGAUAGUGAACCAGUACCGUGAGGGAAAGGCGAAAAGAACCCCGGCGAGGGGAGUGAAAAAGAACCUGAAACCGUGUACGUACAAGCAGUGGGAGCACCUUCGGGUGUGACUGCGUACCUUUUGUAUAAUGGGUCAGCGACUUAUAUUCUGUAGCAAGGUUAACCGUAUAGGGGAGCCGAAGGGAAACCGAGUCUUAACUGGGCGUUAAGUUGCAGGGUAUAGACCCGAAACCCGGUGAUCUAGCCAUGGGCAGGUUGAAGGUUGGGUAACACUAACUGGAGGACCGAACCGACUAAUGUUGAAAAAUUAGCGGAUGACCUGUGGCUGGGGGUGAAAGGCCAAUCAAACCGGGAGAUAGCUGGUUCUCCCCGAAAGCUAUUUAGGUAGCGCCUCGUGAACUCAUCUUCGGGGGUAGAGCACUGUUUCGGCUAGGGGGCCAUCCCGGCUUACCAACCCGAUGCAAACUACGAAUACCGAAGAAUGUUAUCACGGGAGACACACGGCGGGUGCUAACGUCCGUCGUGAAGAGGGAAACAACCCAGACCGCCAGCUAAGGUCCCAAAGUCAUGGUUAAGUGGGAAACGAUGUGGGAAGGCCCAGACAGCCAGGAUGUUGGCUUAGAAGCAGCCAUCAUUUAAAGAAAGCGUAAUAGCUCACUGGUCGAGUCGGCCUGCGCGGAAGAUGUAACGGGGCUAAACCAUGCACCGAAGCUGCGGCAGCGACGCUUAUGCGUUGUUGGGUAGGGGAGCGUUCUGUAAGCCGUUGAAGGUGGCCUGUGAGGGUUGCUGGAGGUAUCAGAAGUGCGAAUGCUGACAUAAGUAACGAUAAAGCGGGUGAAAAGCCCGCUCGCCGGAAGACCAAGGGUUCCUGUCCAACGUUAAUCGGGGCAGGGUGAGUCGACCCCUAAGGCGAGGCCGAAAGGCGUAGUCGAUGGGAAACAGGUUAAUAUUCCUGUACUUGGUGUUACUGCGAAGGGGGGACGGAGAAGGCUAUGUUAGCCGGGCGACGGUUGUCCCGGUUUAAGCAUGUAGGCGGAGGUUCCAGGUAAAUCCGGUACCUUUUAACGCUGAGGUGUGAUGACGAGGCACUACGGUGCUGAAGUAACAAAUGCCCUGCUUCCAGGAAAAGCCUCUAAGCAUCAGGUAACACGAAAUCGUACCCCAAACCGACACAGGUGGUCAGGUAGAGAAUACCAAGGCGCUUGAGAGAACUCGGGUGAAGGAACUAGGCAAAAUGGUGCCGUAACUUCGGGAGAAGGCACGCUGAUAUGUAGGUGAAGCCCCUGCGGGUGGAGCUGAAAUCAGUCGAAGAUACCAGCUGGCUGCAACUGUUUAUUAAAAACACAGCACUGUGCAAACACGAAAGUGGACGUAUACGGUGUGACGCCUGCCCGGUGCCGGAAGGUUAAUUGAUGGGGUUAGCGGCAACGCGAAGCUCUUGAUCGAAGCCCCGGUAAACGGCGGCCGUAACUAUAACGGUCCUAAGGUAGCGAAAUUCCUUGUCGGGUAAGUUCCGACCUGCACGAAUGGCGUAAUGAUGGCCAGGCUGUCUCCACCCGAGACUCAGUGAAAUUGAACUCGCUGUGAAGAUGCAGUGUACCCGCGGCAAGACGGAAAGACCCCGUGAACCUUUACUAUAGCUUGACACUGAACACUGGUCCUUGAUGUGUAGGAUAGGUGGGAGGCUUUGAAGCGUGGACGCCAGUCUGCGUGGAGCCGACCUUGAAAUACCACCCUUUAAUGGCUGGUGUUCUAACGUAGACCCGUAAUCCGGGUUGCGGACAGUGUCUGGUGGGUAGUUUGACUGGGGCGGUCUCCUCCCAAAGAGUAACGGAGGAGCACGAAGGUUAGCUAAUCCUGGUCGGACAUCAGGAGGUUAGUGCAAUGGCAUAAGCUAGCUUGACUGCGAGAGUGACGGCUCGAGCAGGUGCGAAAGCAGGUCAUAGUGAUCCGGUGGUUCUGAAUGGAAGGGCCAUCGCUCAACGGAUAAAAGGUACUCCGGGGAUAACAGGCUGAUACCGCCCAAGAGUUCAUAUCGACGGCGGUGUUUGGCACCUCGAUGUCGGCUCAUCACAUCCUGGGGCUGAAGUAGGUCCCAAGGGUAUGGCUGUUCGCCAUUUAAAGUGGUACGCGAGCUGGGUUUAGAACGUCGUGAGACAGUUCGGUCCCUAUCUGCCGUGGGCGCUGGAGAAUUGAGGGGGGCUGCUCCUAGUACGAGAGGACCGGAGUGGACGCAUCACUGGUGUUCGGGUUGUCAUGCCAAUGGCACUGCCCGGUAGCUAAAUGCGGAAGAGAUAAGUGCUGAAAGCAUCUAAGCACGAAACUUGCCCCGAGAUGAGUUCUCCCUGAGACUUAAAGUCUCCUGAAGGAACGUUGAAGACGACGACGUUGAUAGGUCGGGUGUGUAAGCGCAGCGAUGCGUUGAGCUAACCGAUACUAAUGAACCGUGAGGCUUAACCUU
rnacentral:rRNA from 1 species